UACGUAGGGUGCAAGCGUUGUCCGGAAUUAUUGGGCGUAAAGAGCUCGUAGGCGGUCUGUCGCGUCUGCUGUGAAAACUCGGGGCUUAACCCCGGGCCUGCAGUGGGUACGGGCAGACUAGAGUGCGGUAGGGGAGACUGGAAUUCCUGGUGUAGCGGUGAAAUGCGCAGAUAUCAGGAGGAACACCGGUGGCGAAGGCGGGUCUCUGGGCCUUACCUGACGCUCAGGUGCGAAAGCUAGGGGAGCGAACAGG
rnacentral:rRNA from 1 species